UACGUAGGGAGCAAGCGUUGUCCGGAUUUAUUGGGCGUAAAGAGCUCGUAGGCGGCUUGGCAAGUCGGAUGUGAAACCCCCCAGGCUUAACCUGGGGCCGCCAUUCGAUACUGCUAUGGCUUGAGUUCGGUAGGGGAUUGUGGAAUUCCCGGUGUAGCGGUGAAAUGCGCAGAUAUCGGGAGGAACACCAAUGGCGAAGGCAGCAAUCUGGGCCGACACUGACGCUGAGGAGCGAAAGGCUGGGGGGAGCAAACAGGAUUAGAUACCCUGGUAGUCCCACGCCCUAAACGUUGGGCACUAGGUGUGGGACCUACUUCGACGGGUUCCGUGCCGUAGCUAACGCAUUAAGUGCCCCGCCUGGGGAGUACGGCCGCGAGGCUA
rnacentral:rRNA from 1 species